rnacentral:rRNA from 1 species
GAGUCUUCGGACUGCGGAAGAGUGGCGAACGGGUGAGGAACACGUAAGAAUCUGCCCCUCGGUCGGGGACAACUCUUGGAAACGAGAGCUAAUACCCGAUACGCUGUGGAGUGAAAGAAUUUCGCCGAGGGAUGAUCUUGCGUCUGAUUAGCUAGUUGGUGUGGUAACUGCACACCAAGGCGACGAUCAGUAGCUGGUCUGAGAGGAUGGACAGCCACAUUGGAACUGAGACACGGUCCAAACUCCUACGGGAGGCAGCAGUGGGGAAUUUUCCGCAAUGGACGAAAGUCUGACGGAGCGACGCUGCGUGAAGGAUGACGGCCCGCGGGUUGUAAACUUCUUUUCUCGAAGAAGAAACAAAUGACGGUAUUCGAGGAAUAAGCAUCGGCUAACUCCGUGCCAGCAGCCGCGGUAAGACGGAGGAUGCAAGUGUUAUUCGGAAUGAUUGGGCGUAAAGAGUCUGUAGGCUGUAUAGAAAGUCUUUUGUUAAAUUCCUCGGCUCAACCGAGAUCAAGCAAAGGAAACUUCUAUACUUGAGGGAAGUAGAGGUACAGGGAAUUCCCGGUGGAGCGGUGAAAUGCG